rnacentral:rRNA from 1 species
UACGUAGGGACCGAGCGUUGUCCGGAUUCAUUGGGCGUAAAGAGCUCGUAGGCGGCCACUCAAGUCGAAUGUGAAACCUCGAGGCUUAACCUCGAGCCUGCAUUCGAUACUGGGCGGCUAGAGUCUGGUAGGGGGAUCUGGAAUUCCUGGUGUAGCGGUGGAAUGCGCAGAUAUCAGGAGGAACACCGGUGGCGAAGGCGGGUCUCUGGGCAGUAACUGACGCUGAGAAGCGAAAGCGUGGGGAGCGAACAGG